AGCGAACGCUGGCGGCAGGCUUAACACAUGCAAGUCGAGCGGGCAUAGCAAUAUGUCAGCGGCAGACGGGUGAGUAACGCGUGGGAACGUACCUUUUGGUUCGGAACAACUGAGGGAAACUUCAGCUAAUACCGGAUAAGCCCUUACGGGGAAAGAUUUAUCGCCGAAAGAUCGGCCCGCGUCUGAUUAGCUAGUUGGUGAGGUAAUGGCUCACCAAGGCGACGAUCAGUAGCUGGUCUGAGAGGAUGAUCAGCCACAUUGGGACUGAGACACGGCCCAAACUCCUACGGGAGGCAGCAGUGGGGAAUAUUGGACAAUGGGCGCAAGCCUGAUCCAGCCAUGCCGCGUGAGUGAUGAAGGCCCUAGGGUUGUAAAGCUCUUUUGCGCGGGAAGAUAAUGACGGUACCGCAAGAAUAAGCCCCGGCUAACUUCGUGCCAGCAGCCGCAGUAA
rnacentral:rRNA from 1 species